rnacentral:rRNA from 1 species
UAGAGUUUUUAUCAUGGCUCAGAUUGAACGCUGGCGGUAGGCUUAACACAUGCAAGUCGAGCGGAAACGAUUCUAGCUUGCUAGAAGGCGUCGAGCGGCGGACGGGUGAGUAAUGCGUGGGAAUCUACCCAGUAGUUGGGGAUAGCCCGGAGAAAUCCGGAUUAAUACCGAAUAAUCUCUACGGAGGAAAGUGGGCUUCGGCUCACGCUACAGGAUGAGCCUGCGUUGGAUUAGCUAGUUGGUGAGGUAAGAGCUCACCAAGGCGACGAUCCAUAGCUGGUCUGAGAGGAUGAUCAGCCACACUGGGACUGAGACACGGCCCAGACUCCUACGGGAGGCAGCAGUGGGGAAUAUUGGACAAUGGGGGCAACCCUGAUCCAGCCAUACCGCGUGUGUGAAGAAGGCCUUCGGGUUGUAAAGCACUUUCAGCGAGGAGGAAAGGUUGUUGGUUAAUACCCAUCAACUGUGACGUUACUCGCAGAAGAAGCACCGGCUAA